rnacentral:rRNA from 1 species
UGCAAGUCGCGCGGACGGUAGCAAUACCGUUAGCGGCGGACGGGUGAGGAAUACAUAGGAAUUUGCCUCAGAGCGGGGGAUAGCCCAGGGAAACUUGGAGUAAUACCGCAUGAUGUCGAAAGACCAAAGCAGGGGAUCGCAAGACCUUGCACUCUGAGAGAAGCCUAUGUCUGAUUAGCUAGUUGGUGAGGUAACGGCUCACCAAGGCGACGAUCAGUAACUGGUCUGAGAGGACGAUCAGUCACACCGGAACUGAGACACGGUCCGGACUCCUACGGGAGGCAGCAGUGGGGAAUAUUGGACAAUGGGCGCAAGCCUGAUCCAGCAAUGCCGCGUGUGUGAAGAAGGCCUUCGGGUUGUAAAGCACUUUAAGCAGGGAAGAAAAAAUUCGCUCUAACAUAGCGAGUCUUGACGGUACCUGAAGAAUAAGCACCGGCUAACUCUGUGCCAGCAGCCGCGGUAAUACAGAGGGUGCGAGCGUUAAUCGGAUUUACUGGGCGUAAAGCGUGUGUAGGUUGUUGUUCAAGUCAGUUGUGAAAUCCCUGGGCUCAACCUGGGAACUGCUUCUGAGACUGAACGACUAGAGUACGGUAGAGGGUGGUGGAAUUUCCGGUGUAGCGGUGAAAUGCGUAGAUAUCGGAAGGAACAUCAAUGGCGAAGGCAGCCACCUGGGCCUGUACUGACACUGAGACACGAAAGCGUGGGGAUCAAACAGGAUUAGAUACCCUGGUAGUCCACGCCGUAAACGAUGAGAACUUGACGUCGGUUUGCUCUGCAAGUCGGUGUCG